rnacentral:rRNA from 1 species
UACGUAGGGGGGCUAGCGUUGUCCGGAAUCAUUGGGCGUAAAGCGCGUGUAGGCGGUCCGGUAAGUCCGCUGUGAAAGUCGGGGGCUCAACCCUCGAAUGCCGGUGGAUACUGUCGGGCUAGAGUGCGGAAGAGGCGAGUGGAAUUCCUGGUGUAGCGGUGAAAUGCGCAGAUAUCAGGAAGAACACCCGUGGCGAAGGCGGUCUCUGGGACGGUACUGACGCUGGAGACGCGAAAGCGUGGGGAGCGAACAGG